ensembl:lncRNA
AUUUCCAUUAAAUUACUGUAAAUGAACGGUAGGAUAUUGAGCACUAAUGAGGUAGCAGGCUGAGAUUUUUCUUCAUUUUCUGACUAUUUUUAACUGGUGAAAUUUGGUUGGCUAGCAUGCAGAACUCCACUGUGCAUUAAUUUGAACCCUUCUAAGCAAUGUUCUAGUAUUCUCCAGUAAAAAUCUGUGCUAAAAUGUUACUGAGUUCAUCUGGCUUCCAGAACAUGGUCUUCUGUUGUAGAUUGGAAAACCUGACUGAAACCUGGCUGCUUCUUUGCAUUUACUGCUGUAUUGUUAUAACCUGAAUAUGGAAUGCUUUUACUGAUUUGUCCACUGGCGGAUGUAGCAGGGUCUCAUGGGCACCAGUGAGGGCCACAGCAGAAGAACACAUCUGAAUAGGGUGGUACUGGUAUGGACUGGGGGUGGCUCAUGGGGAAGAUGGCAAAGGACAAGAUGGGAGCAAUCUGGCAUGAGGAUUACUGUGAUUUUUUUUAACUUUUUUUUCUUAUUUCUUUUUUCUCCAUGUCUUUUCCUCAGCCACUACCUGAGCACUCAACGCAUGUUAAUCUUCAGCUUUCUUGUUUUCACAACCACUACACAUCCCUCUCAUUCAUUUGUAGCCACUGUCGAUGAACCAUGACAGUAUUAAACAGUUAACACCUACAAUAAAUAUUUUAAGAAACUGUUACAGCGAAGAAAAAAACAGUUAUUGGAUCCAAAGCUAUUUUUCAUGCCUUGGCACAAAAGGAAUAAAGGAAUGUAACAGAAGCUGCUCCUGCUAGUCUGGGUGGGCAGAAGAACUUGAGGUCCAAGGAUGCGAGUGGGAGAGAGCCUACACAGAACCCAGGAUGAAAGCAUGGCCCAUCUGGCUGUCUCUAGGCAUCAGCUGGGAUGUCCUCUCCUGCUAGGCAAGGUUUGUAGAACAUAGCUGUGGCAAAAAAUGUUACAUGUUCCCUAGUGACCUCGUUGUGGAAGCCAACUGGUCCAGCAUGAAGAAUGUCUGGGGGGAGCUGGGUGGUUGGAAUGGUUGGAGCCAUACAAUUGUGCCACUGGUGCAAUUUGUGGUGUUGCUGUGAAAGUAUGAGAGGGAUGCGAAGGGAAUGUGAUGGAAAAGAAUGGCUAAAAAAGGAAUUGAGGAAUCACAUGAAAGAAAGUCAAAACACAGUGUAGUUUGUGUUUUGUCUCAACAAGUGAGAGUAAAGAGCUACUUUGAAGAGUGUUUCUGAGUGAGAGAUGCAUGGAAUUUGGACAGCUCAACGGCACCCCCACUAUUCUCAGGUUGUAAUGCACCUAAAUGACGUGGUGGAGCAGUACCUGUGAGGGUGGUUCAUGAUGUCUGCACAUGCAGAUAUUUCUUAUCUUCAUGGAAGCGGAAGAGUUAUUUCAAGGCAGCCAGGGUACCUCUAUCUUCUGCUUUGCUUUUUUUAAUCGCUGCAAGAUUUGCAACUAUUCACAAAAGAGGAAAGGCUUAUUGGCAGAAAGACAGCAGUUGGAAAUUGAAAAAAAAAAAAAAAAAACCAACCAAACAACACAACCCUGUAACUUGUGCUUCUGUAGUGAGAGCAGGAAUGCGUGUGAUUUAGACACAGCUUUACUCAGAAAGGAGAAACUAAUGCUAUCUCUGCUAUCUCUUGCAUUUUCACAGCCUCCAAGAGGUCUGUGUUAUUCCUUUAACCACAUCAGGAACACGGGUCACAACUGAUUUUACAAAUGUAGCCAGGAUCAGAAGAGCUGAAUCCUCCUC